UUCAGUGGGGAAGGAGCUGCCCACGACUGGGGGUAAGCCUGCCGGUCUCCCUGAGCCUCAGUUUCCCCAGGUGCCCAUAACAAGGUCGUAGGGACGGUGUAUUCAGAGUCCGCGGCUUCCCCGAAGGGUGCCCCUGCAGUAAUGCGGCGCCGCUAUGUACAACUGGACCACAUGCAAUGUCCUCCAUCCCCUGGGAGUCACCACGCCCCUCGGCUUUAGCGAGAGCGCGCACCUCAGAAGGCCUCAUGACAGGUGGUGGCUGGUGGUAGCAUCAGAAGGUGAGCAGAAGUGCCCUGUAAACAGAGGCUUCAAAACACAGCAGCUCCUGGCACAAAGGCACAGAACUCUGCAUGCGAUUGGGGACAGCCACAGGUGGCAAUGGCCUAUCACACAGGCUUUCUGACCCUGCUGCUGGGACCCUUCCCUUGAACUCUGCCUGGGCUGUUUUCUCUCUGUAGAGGGAUUCGGGAGGAGGCUUCGAACCUGCCAUGGCCGAAAGUUAUUCAACCCUGGCUAGUAAUGUCUAGUCUUCCUGAGUUCUGCAUAGAGGUAAUGACCUGUACAAUGUUUGGUUUAAUUUUUUUUUUAAUUUCACAUUUUUCAUGGAGUCGAAUAUACAAUUAAUUAAAAAAGAAAAUCAAUUUUCACAAAUGUUUUUAUGGUAUUCUGGCAGAAAAAGAGGUUCCCUAGUUGUGGAGUAAGAAGGUUUUAGAAGUCCAAUGCUUUCUCCAUUAUACCACAGAGCCUUGAGUAAGAAAUUUUUAAAAUAGCCCUGACCAGGGUGGCUCGUGUGAUUGGGCAUCAUUCAGCAAAGUGAAAGGUCACCGGUUUGAUUCCCUGUCAGGUCACGUGCCUGGGUUGCAGGCCUGGUCUCUGGUCCGGGGAGCACAAGGGGCAAACAAUCGAUGUGUCUCUCGCUUUCUUCCUCCCUCCCCUCCUGUCUCUCUAAAAAUAAAUAAAUAAAAACCUAAAAAAAAGGGUAAAUAAAAAGAUUUUAAUUAUUUAUUUUUUUAGAGAGGGAGAGAAACAUCGAUGCAUAGAUGUUUCUUGCAUACCCCCCACCAGAUACCCAGCCUGCAACCCAGGCAUGUGCCCCGACUGGAAAUCAAAUCAGUGACCCCCUGAUUCACAGGCCUGUGCUCAACCACUGAGCCACAACAGCCGAGGCUUUAAAAUAGCCAGUAAAUAAACUUUAAUGAAUUGUGUACUGUUCCAUCUGUAUUAACCUUUCAUUUCCUCCUUUCUCACAGUUUGCUUGGCAUUGAUAUGACUUUGCCUGAUCAACUUUGAACUCUUUAUGCCUUUUUCAUAACAGCUUUGUCAGGGUGUAAUGCACACAUAAGAUUCUCCUAUUGGAAGUGCACAGCUCAGGGGUUUUAGCCGAGUUGUGCAACCAUCCCCACAAUCCAUGUCUAUUGGAACAGAAUAAAGUGUUAGGAUUUUGACUUUUCUCUCUUGUGAGGUCCUCCCAUUUCAAAAGGAGAAUCAACCACUAUCUCUGUAACAGGGUUGGCCAAUUUCGUUUUUUCUGUAAAGGCCGGAUAGUGGUUAUUUCAGCUGUGAGGGGUGGGGCUGAUGCCUCCCCGAGCCGCUUAGCUCUGCUUUGUAGAGCAAUUGCCCUAGAUGAUAUGCAAAUGAGAGAGCAAGGCCCUUUGCCAAUACAAUUUUAUUGACAAAAGCAGAGGUGUACUGCCUUUAGCCAUCCCUGAUCCUUGACUGCUGCGGCUUCAUUUUCCUUGAGCCAAUCUUGUGUCGUGCUUUGAAACAGUCAUCCCUGAAAAGAAAAUUCCUCUGCUGUUUUCUAGGCUUCCUAUCUUCUGUACGGGCUGUUUUCCUGUCUUUGUCCCUCCAUUAAUCUAAAAGCUACGGACGUACAGGCUGUGGGGCAUCUUACUAGUGGACACACACACA